UACGUAGGGUGCAAGCGUUGUCCGGAAUUAUUGGGCGUAAAGAGCUUGUAGGCGGUUUGUCGCGUCUGCUGUGAAAUUUCGGGGCUCAACCCCGAACUUGCAGUGGGUACGGGCAGACUAGAGUGUGGUAGGGGAGACUGGAAGUUCCUGGUGUAGCGGUGAAAUGCGCAGAUAUCAGGAGGAACACCGAUGGCGAAGGCAGGUCUCUGGGCCACUACUGACGCUGAGAAGCGAAAGCGUGGGGAGCGAACAGG
rnacentral:rRNA from 1 species